GACGAACGCUGGCGGCGUGCUUAACACAUGCAAGUCGAACGGUGAAGGGACCGGUUUUUGCUGGUUCUGGAUGAGUGGCGAACGGGUGAGUAACACGUGAGUAACCUGCCCCCUUCUUCUGGAUAACCGCAUGAAAGUGUGGUUAAUACGGGAUAUUCUGCGCCUGCUGCAUGGUGGGUGUGGGAAAGAUAUUGUUUCGGUGGGGGAUGGGCUCGCGGCCUAUCAGCUUGUUGGUGGGGUGAUGGCCUACCAAGGCGGUGACGGGUAGCCGGCCUGAGAGGGUGGACGGUCACACUGGGACUGAGACACGGCUCAGACUCCUACGGGAGGCAGCAGUGGGGAAUAUUGCACAAUGGGCGCAAGCCUGAUGCAGCGACGCCGCGUGAGGGAUGGAGGCCUUCGGGUUGUAAACCUCUUUCGCCAGUGAAGCAGGCCUGUCCCUUUUGUGGGUGGGUUGACGGUAGCUGGAGAAGAAGCGCCGGCUAACUACGUG
rnacentral:rRNA from 1 species